ensembl:lncRNA
AUCUAAAUGUUCUCUGAAGACAGGAAGCGGUUAGUAGCUGCAUCGGUUCAUCACACAAGUUACUAGGUAAAAAGUCAUUUAAACAUGUGCUUAAUAAUAAUAUAAAAAGAUACAUUUCAUAUAGCUGAUCAUAUACAAUAUUCUCUUAACACCAGGUCAGGGGGGAGAUACCAUCACCCCCAGCUGAGAUUGGGGGUGAUGCAAUGCUCAGCUCAACUAAACAUAUAAGUGCUCAUAACACUCAAACACUUUCACUGAGAAUAAUAGAAAUUACAUCUCCACACUUUUUGAUUAGUGAUUAAUAAUUAAUUAAUACUAAACUAUACAAAGAAAGUUUCUAGUUUAACUAUAUACAACAUCAACAACAUUGCUGUCACGGCCAGCGAGGCGAGCCGUGUGUAAUUUAUUAAAGGACCCAAGAUGCAGGCACUAGUGAUGUGAGUGGGCUUUUAUUGAGGAGGAAUACAAACAGAAAUGGCAAAGGUGUGGACGGAAACUAAGCAAAACCUAAACUGGAGAAAGCUAACAAAACACAGACCUGAAAUAGCGAAACAGGGAGACGCAGGUAGAUGAUACAGAAUAAAGCAGGGAAUGAACACAGAUGACGGAGGGAGAGAACACAGAUGAACCGGCAACAGGCAGGAGAACACACAGGGCUUAAAUACACACAGCAGUAAUCAAGGGAUGGGAGACAGGAGGGGAACACACCUGGGAGAAAUCACAGCUGACGAGACAGGAGAAACUUAAAUUUGAACACACUCACAUAAGACAAGGACCUUCAGAAUAAAACAGGAAACUAACAAACACAGAGAACCAGACAAGACACUGAACUUAACAGACAGACUCACGAACAGACACAGUGACACCAUGGACAGACAGAGGGAACACAGAGAAGUGGGAGCAGGCAGGCACAGAACAAAACCCUAACAAAUAGCAAACCUUAACAAAAGACAUAACAGAAUAAACAAGAACAUAGAAUAAUAUAAAUAAAACACAAAACACCGAGUCGUCAGACUCAGGACCAUGACAAUUGCAUACUCAGAGAAGUUUCACAAUGUGCAUCAUUCAUAGUGUCAGAGAUACAAGUUUACACUUAGUGUUCAUCCUCACUCUCACUGUCCUCUUGUCCUCAUCUGAGUCUAAAAUUUGUAUGAAAAAAAAUGGUAGAAAGGAAAAACUUCCAAAAAUAUCAGAUUACAGAUGGAAAUAUGAAACAGCAUUCAUUAAAUUAAAUUGUUCAUUUAUGAGAAACUGUUGUCAAGAUAAGGAAGCCAUUUGGCAUAUUUAUCAAACCUUAUCAUUGAAUCCACCAGCCGAUGUUUCCAAUUUAGUAACUGUUCCUGUAAAAAACCUUUAUCAGCAGAACUGUUAGGGCUCAAGGUGCACACACAUCACCAAACAUCACCCACUCGCCUUUGUGCCGUUCUAUUUUGCCAUUGAGAGGAGUAGGAAUAUUUUCCUGCUAUUAUUUGCUGCUAUUAGUAUAAUCAUCAUUACCAUUUCAUUAUUAAUAGUGAUGUUGCAUUCAGAUGCAUUCAGAUGUUCAAAUAUAUGGGUAUUAUAUUAGUCUUUAUUGCAGGUCCAAGAAGAACCACUUUAAACGGUUGAGUUGAAUCUAUAAUUUUAAAGGCUUUUGAAUGUUUUUAUAUUCUUAUACUGAAGUCUUCAGUGGGUGAAGCACUCAAAGAGCAGGGACAGGAAACACAUCUGCAAGGCAUGCUUUUGCAGAAGUGAAACUGAAAGCAGACUCUGAAUGCAAGUACUGUGAGUAGGAUAUGAAACUGUAUUAAGCUUUUAGUAGAGGCUUUUGAUUAAAACAUUUAUUCAGUAGAUUACAUAUAUAGUUCCAGUUAGGUUAUUAUAUGUAAGGAUGAGCCUCUGUUCUGGUGAAAGGUCAGAAGUGUAACGGGUGAGAUGUGAGAGCAUGUAAGGAUGAGCCUCUGUUCUGGUGAAAGGUCAGAAGUGUAACGGGUGAGAUGUGAGAGCAUGUAAGGGCGAGACACCCAUAAACACACAUACAGACACAUAUAGUGAGAGAGGUCAUGACACGUACGCAGUACACAGCACGCACGCGCCCCCGCACGUGCACGCACACACACAUAUUAGAUAGACUCCUUUGAGUAGGUAAAAGUUUAAUUAUGUUUUGCUUGCGACUGCAAAGUUGUGCCUGCAUGAGUGACAUUUUUGUGCAGAACGUGGACCUGAUGUUCCAGAAGAUAAGCCUGGGCAGGAUGGAGACAGGAAGCACCUGGCUUCGACGCGAAGAUGAUGUUCUGUUUUAAACUAUGUUAAAAGUCAUUGUGGUUUUGGAGUGACGUAUGCUUUGUUUGAGUCUGCCUGGUAACAGGAAGACUGCCAACCCUAUAAAGUCUUUGUUCUGACUAUUGUAGUUAGUUCAAUACUGAAUCUGAGCAGUAUUGGCUCCGCAUAUGUGUAUUCAUUAAAAUGCCGUCUAAUUUGCACCCGGCUGGAUCUGUGGUUAUUUUUGGAUUUCCCCUCAAUAUAUUUUGAACCUUAACACCAUGUCCAGAUGUUUGCUGUCAGGAACAGUGAGUACGACUGAACCUGUGGAUAAAUGAAUGCAACAAAACAUGAUCUAACUUUGAAUUAGUGCCUUUCAAAGUCAGUCUAAGGUAAAACCAGAAGCAGCCAUGUGAUUGCACACGGCCACCAUACAUCAAACAUUUUUGAUCUAAAU